rnacentral:rRNA from 1 species
GAUGAACGCUGGCGGCGUGCCUAAUACAUGCAAGUCGAACGAAACUUCUUUAUCACCGAGUGCUUGCACUCACCGAUAAAGAGUUGAGUGGCGAACGGGUGAGUAACACGUGGGCAACCUGCCCAAAAGAGGGGGAUAACACUUGGAAACAGGUGCUAAUACCGCAUAACCAUAGUUACCGCAUGGUAACUAUGUAAAAGGUGGCUAUACUACCGCUUUUGGAUGGGCCCGCGGCGCAUUAGCUAGUUGGUAGGGUAAAGGCUUACCAAGGCAAUGAUGCGUAGCCGAAUUGAGAGGUUGAUCGGCCACAUUGGGACUGAGACACGGCCCAAACUCCUACAGGAGGCAGCAGUAGGGAAUCUUCCACAAUGGGCGAAAGCCUGAUGGAGCAACGCCGCGUGGGUGAAGAAGGUCUUCGGAUCGUAAAACCCUGUUGUUAGAGAAGAAAGUGCGUGAGAGUAACUGUUCACGUUUCGACGGUAUCUAACCAGAAAGCCACGGCUAACUACGUG